rnacentral:rRNA from 1 species
AUGAAAAUGGCGACUUGCAUUUGUAAGGUGGCCUCGGAGGAGUUUGGAGUGUCCAGGGGAAGGAGAAGCAAAGAUAAAGAUACCUGGUGGUGGAAUGAUGAUGUCCAGAAGGCGAUUAAAGAGAAGAAAGAUUGCUUCAGACGCCUAUACCUGGAUAGGAGUGCAGACAACAUAGAGAAGUACAAGAUGGCGAAGAAGGCCGCAAAGCGAGCUGUUGGUGAAGCAAGGGGUCGGGCAUAUGAGGACCUCUACCAACGGUUAGGCACGAAGGAAGGUGAAAGGGACAUCUAUAAGAUGGCUAAGAUCCGAGAGAGGAAGACGAGGGAUAUUGGCCAGGUCAAAUGCAUCAAGGACGGAGCAGGCCAACUCUUGGUGAAGGACGAGGAGAUUAAGCAUAGAUGGCGGGAGUACUUUGACAAGCUGUUCAAUGGGGAGAAUGAGAGUUCUACCAUUGAACUGGAUGACUCCUUUGAUUAG